GUUAAUAGGAACUAGCAGGUUACCUCUCCCCUUGAGUUCUUGGAUCCACGCCACAACAGCAGCAUUUUUAAGAACCUGAGGGACAUCAUUUUGGAGUGCACACACACACACCAACUCAUGAGGUCUGGCGAGGCUCUUCCUUUAUGAUGCCUUUGUUUUUCUCCCUGCUCUAAUAUGUCUGAGGCAUCCUGUUACCCUGGUGCUCCUGGGUAGAGGAUCACUUCUAACUGAAUCACAUCACAGCAGGAUCUCUCUAUGAAGGGUGUUUUUGUUCACAGAAUCACUAUUGUUCCUGCCUUGUCUCUGGCCAUCUCUGCACCAGCUCCAGUCAGAUGAAGGAGGCAGCACACUGAGUGUUUCCACUUUCCAUCUGCCACUGUGCUUGCGUAACCGUUCCAGAGGACAGCGUUGAGCAAGAUGGGGGACCCAGCACCAUGUAACAUGCAGCAUGCAGCACCAGCUGUGACUCAUGAUGAGCAGGACUCUCUCUUCCUCUUUCUCAGUCUCUCUGAGCCCGUCUGUCUGGGUCUAUGGGGAGAUGCUGGACCCCAGCUCCCCCUUGGAAGCAAUAUGUCCCACUUCCACUAAAUGUCUCCUCCAUUAGCCUACAGGCCCAUGUGCCAACAUCCUCAGGACCUGUCACUGCCCCACCUCCUCCAGGAACAAGGUGUGAGGUCACCCUUGCCUUUUGUGAUUAGCUCCCGGCUGCUUUUUUAUGAAGGAGGAACAAAGUAGCCUAGUUUUUUCUGGUAAUUACCGUGCAAUCAGUUUAUAAUUCAUGUACCUUUUGAACUGAGAAGAGCAGGAGGUUGUCACAAGGUGUGGUAACUGUGCAAUAAUACACGUGUACAUGGUUGUAUAAGUGGGGGGGCAUAAUAUUAAUAUUAUAUAUUUUUUUUUUUAUCCAGUCGGAUAAACACUCCAAACGGCCUACCCGACGCUCGGAGGCGUCCGCAUGGUCCUAAAGUACACCGUUGCCCUGUUUUGUUUCACAUUCCAAUGAUAAAACAUGGGGGACAAAAAUGUAAUUUCAGAAUGUUCCUUCCCCAGUGAAAGUUUCACCCCAGUGUAAAUGUGUAGCCUAAUUACAUUGUUGUGAAGGAGCAUCAA